AGAGGAUGAUUACUCUCGUAAUCUAUAAGCAGCAAGAGCAGAUGUGCUUGUAAGAAACAAAGAUCUUGUUUUCAUACAAAUGUUCUCAAAAUAAGACACAAAAGAAGAAAAAUACCCAGAGCACACGAUGCAAAGGAAAAAAACUGCUUCAAAAUAGAAUGUUUUACAAAGUUUUCCAUAAAGCUUCAGCUGCUCCUCGAGCACAACCAGCUUGAACAUGGAUAGCAGACGUGAAAUUACAGUACUCACAAAAUUAGUAUUCAAGCUGCACAAUGUCUCUUUCAAAGACUUCAAGCAUACUUGCAUGUACAAUUACAGAAGCAGGGACAUGGGUAUGUGCACAAGAGCCUUAUCAAACUGCAAAGUGACACUCUCAAGAACUGUUCAAAGAAACUACUGUUCAAGGUGGAUGGAAUGAGAAGACCCCUACCAUGUGGGACUCACAUGCCAGCAGGACAGACUCCAGACCAUCAAUGUAGUCACGGAGGCAAAGUUGGAAGAUAUUUACACACCUUACUUAUGAAAUGGAUUUGAUAUCUUAGGAUGUUUUCUUUGAAACUAUGGUUCCAUUUAGGGCUUCCUUGCUUCUUCACAGUGCCAAUCUAGGUCGACAGGAGAAAGUGAGACCAUUGUUCCAUAUCCUGCUUAAAAAGAGAACAACACUUCAAAGAGAACACCACCACCUGACAAAAUAAAACAAGCAAUCAGAUUUAAAACACUGUGCCUAUGUGUGCUUGGCAAACUUAACUUUUUCAGGAAUUCAAAUAAUUUUAGGGCACCUUCUCUGGUUGGUUAUGUUCUAUAUCUACCACAAUAAAACUAAACA
rnacentral:lncRNA from 1 species